UAGCAUAUCAAUAAGCGGAGGAAAAGAAACUAACAAGGAUUCCCUUAGUAACUGCGAGUGAAGAGGGAAAAGCUCAAAUUUAAAAUCUGGCAGUGUUUCACUGUCCGAGUUGUAACCUAGAGAAGUGUAACCUGCGCUGGACCGUGUAUAAGUCUCCUGGAAUGGAGCAUCACUGAGGGUGAGAAUCCCGUCUUUGACACGGACCACCAGUGCAUUGUGGUUGUGCUCUCAACGAGUCGAGUUGUUUGGGAAUGCAGCUCUAAAUGGGUGGUAAAUUCCAUCUAAAGCUAAAUAUUGGCGAGAGACCGAUAGCGAACAAGUACCGUGAGGGAAAGAUGAAAAGAACUUUGGAAAGAGAGUUAAACAGUAUGUGAAAUUGUUGAAAGGGAAACGUUUGAAGUCAGUCGCGUCGGUUGGGGAUCAGCCUGACAUUGUUGGGUGUACUUCCUGGUUGACGGGCCAACAUCAGUUUUGAUUGCCAGAAAAAGGCCAAAGGAAUGUGGCACCUUUGGGUGUGUUAUAGCCCUUGGUCGUAUAUGGUGGUUGGGACUGAGGAAAGCAGCGUGCCGAAAGGCCGGGUUUCGACCACGUUCACGCUGAGGAUGUUGGCAUAAUGGCUUUAAGCGACCCGUCUUGAAACACGGACCAAGGAGUCUAACAUGCAUGCGAGUGUUUGGGUGGAAAACCCUUACGCGUAAUGAAAGUGAAAGUUGAGAUCCCUGUCGUGGGGAGCAUCGACGCCCGGACCAGAACUUUUGGGACGGAUCUGCGGUAGAGCACGUAUGUUGGGACCCGAAAGAUGGUGAACUAUGCCUGAAUAGGGUGAAGCCAGAGGAAACUCUGGUGGAGGCUCGUAGCGAUUCUGACGUGCAAAUCGAUCGUCAAAUUUGGGUAUAGGGGCGAAAGACUAAUCGAACCAUCUAGUAGCUGGUUCCUGCCGAA
rnacentral:rRNA from 1 species